CUUUCUUCUCGUCUGUCGCCAUGUGAGAUGUACCUUUCACUUUCCUCCAUGAUUGUGAGGCCUCCUUAGCCACAUGGAACUGCCCUGGCAAUCACUAUUCCAGUCUCUGCUUCUAUGAGUUUGACUAUUUCAGAUUCCACAUGAAAUGCUGGAGUCCUUCAUCCGAAUGGUAAAUGGCACUUGUGACAAAAAUCAAAGUAACUAAAAAAGAAUCUGGUUGAAACCUCAGUAACAGUUGGCCUGUCUACUGCCUCACACUAACAAGGGGGAGCUAAUAAAACCGAGGUUAGAACACACAAUGUGGAAAUGAAAACCUUAUUCUUGUCAAUGGAUGGAGGGUGGUGACCCCCACCUUUACAAGUGUCUGUAAUUCUCACUAGCAGUAUAUUAGAGGGCAAAAGAUUUGAACAGACACAUCAGAAAAGAAGACAUACAAAUGGCCGCUAAGCACUUGAAAGGAUUCUGAACACCAUUAGUCAUCAGUGAAAUGCAAAUUAAAGCCAUAAUGAAUGGCGCUAUACAUUUUCAGAAUGGCAAGGAUUGAAGACCGAAAAAAAUCAAGCGUUGAGGAGAGUGACAAAUGGGGAGACAGCCGUGGUGCAUGAUCGCCGAAUAAAUACCAUGUGAGGAUACAGCAAGAAGGUGGCCAUCUACAAGCCAAGGAGACAGGCCUCAGAAGAAACCAACCCUUCUUACACCCUGGACUCAGACUUCUAAUCUCCAGAACUUGUUAAUGCACAAGGUCUUGUGUUGAAAAUGUAGAGCCACGAGAUAAAAGCAGCUUGGAUGGCUGACUCAUAUACAAGGACAACUGCCUGAGAGUCACCAGGGCUAUCAAGAAGUUUGCAGAAACAAGAAAUAAACUUUUACUGUUUUAAACUUUUGUGAAUUUUGGGUUUUGUUUAUCACCAAAUAAACCUAGUCUAUUCUGAUUGUUAUAAGUGGUUAAUUUGGGAAGUCAGAUAUAUUUAAAAUUGGCUUACUGCUGUAACAUAUACAGUCCAAAUUACAUAAUGGCUCAAAUGCAAUAGAAGUCUUUUUUUUUUUUGCUCACAUAUCACUUCACUGAGAUUCUGCAUUAAUUGUAAUGAUGAGGGUGAGGGUGUCUUAUAUCAUACAGUUGUUCAGCAACCCAGGAUGACCAACUUUGUAAUAUUUUUUCCCACUGGCUUCUAAAGUUCU